AUUAUAACUGAGGUUCCUGGACUGCACCAAUCGCUCUGCAACCCCAGCACCUCUCGGAGGAGACCCCGAGGCCGUAUGGCCACCUCCUGUCUUACCCCUACACCGAGCCAGCGAACCCUGGAGACUCCUACCUGUCCUGCCAGCAACCCGCGGCGCUCUCUCAGCCCCUCUGCGGACCUGCAGAGCACCCUCAGGAACUCGAGGCAGGCCUCGGCUCAGCCCUGGACCUAGCCUUUCUGCCCCGCCCUAUCCCAAGCUGGCGCCACCGCCCGGGGCUGAACUCCGACCUCCCACCGCAGGCGCCGCGGUACCCUGGCUGUGGCCCUCGGCGCUUUCUUCCUAGGGUCACAGGACCCAUAUGAGUGGGAGCUCCCUGGGAGCAGAACUGCGCCUUGUAUCACCUGGCGCGGUGAACGUGGGAGUUGAAACGCUCCACGCGGAAGACUCGGAGAAGCCGCGGCUGUCCCCGGAACCCUCAGAGCGGCGCCCUCAGGCCCCGGCCAAAAAGCUCCGCAAGCCGAGGACCAUCUACUCCAGCCUGCAGCUGCAGCACCUAAACCAG
rnacentral:sRNA from 1 species